rnacentral:rRNA from 1 species
CCUACGGGAGGCAGCAGUGAGGAAUAUUGGUCAAUGGACGAGAGUCUGAACCAGCCAAGUAGCGUGAAGGAUGACUGCCCUAUGGGUUGUAAACUUCUUUUAUAUGGGAAUAAAAUGUUCCACGUGUGGGAUUUUGUAUGUACCAUAUAAAUAAGGAUCGGCUAACUCCGUGCCAGCAGCCGCGGUAAUACGGAGGAUCCGAGCGUUAUCCGGAUUUAUUGGGUUUAAAGGGAGCGUAGGUGGAUUGUUAAGUCAGUUGUGAAAGUUUGCGGCUCAACCGUAAAAUUGCAGUUGAAACUGGCAGUCUUGAGUACAGUAGAGGUGGGCGGAAUUCGUGGUGUAGCGGUGAAAUGCUUAGAUAUCACGAAGAACUCCGAUUGCGAAGGCAGUUCACUGGACUGCAACUGACACUGAGGCUCGAAAGUGUGGGUAUCAAACAGGAUUAGAUACCCCUGUAGUC